GAGCAGGGAGAGAAUCGGGUUAAGUCUGGGGAUGAAAAGCAAAUGACCACAGGCCAGGAAGGGGAGCCAGGUGUGAGGGCAGGAGGGAUCUGAUUGGCAACUGUGACUGGCUCAUUGGAUCUGCCUCUAACUGGUGCCACCUGAAGAAAUGAGAAACCCCUAUUGUCACGUAAACCUUUCCAUUUUUUUUUUUUUAACAGCACUCCGAGGCUCCAACCAAGCUUGGCUGUGAGUCUGAGCUAGCUCAUGGUACCACCGUUCCGGUCUACAUUUUAAGGCUAUGAAAGAAUGUUCUAGGCACAGCUUUCUUCCCCACAUUUUCCUUGAUUUUCCAGCAAAGCUGUAAUCCCAUCGUCACUUCCUCUGGCAACACGGGGACUGCCUGCCAUGCCCUAACUCCUCCUUGUGCUUUUGGCCUUCGCCUAAGAGUUCCUUGGAGUUUCUUCACAGCAUCUGUAGCCAUCUGAAGUGUCAUCUUCUGUACUAUAUUGCCAGUGCCUACAAUUACGACUGGUAUACUCAACCAGGCGGCAGUGGUCUUGUACAAUCUCUCUCUGUAUUCUCAAGUCCCCAUCUGCGAGCAUGGCUACUGGAAAUAACUGCAGCUGUAUACUGACUUAAAGAUCCAAAAAUCCCAGGAAGGACCCCAGAGCUGUGAGCCAGAAGCCCAAGGCCCUCCCAGCCUGAAAGCCCCAGGCCAAGCCUGAACUAUAUGCAGUCAUCCCCAUGAGAAUAUAAACUCCAUGAGGGCAGCAACUUGGCUGGCCUGUGUGCCAGUGCUGGGGACAUCACUGAGAAAUGAAGGCCCAUUUGGCAGGCUAUUUUUGAGCAAGAUUCCUGAGGCCCAAUCGUUGGGUGAUGAGAUGGACCCGAGGUAUUUCACUCCAGCUCUCGAGCCAAAAGAACUGACCACGUCCUCACCACUGCUCUGCGCCAGGUACCAUGCUUGCUGUCUUACACGUGUAUUGGCUUAUUAAACCCUCACAGAAGCCAGGAGAGGAGUUCCAUUAUCACCUCUUCUAGAAGAGGAAACUGAGGCACAGAAGUUAACUGGCCAGGGCUUACGAGCCCCUAGGAGGCAAAGCUGGGGCAUGGUGCUGGAUGUCUGACUCCACGGCCCUCCCCUGCCUUAUCUGCCGUUGUUUCCCUUUCUGCAGGAUUAGUAGAUUAAGCUGUACUGGAAUGUGGCCUCUCAGGCAUUUCCGUAUCAGCCAUGGUUACACUCACUGAGGAUAGCACAGUUGAGUGAUUGAGACAGAGAUUCAGUGCCCCAAAAAUCCUUCCCAUCUGAGCCUGGACUUGCCACGUUUUUUAGAGACAGGGACCAGCAGGAGCUACUUUGACAUGGCACUGUGUUGGGCACAGCCUGGCUGGGGAAUCUCACUGGAUCCUCACAGUGGCUCUGUGUGGUAGGGUAUAGAGAUCCCUACCUUACAGAUGAGCAGACAGGCUAGAAAUAUCACCUGCCUGCUCCUGUGUCCCCAGCAGCAGCUAAGUGACAAAACUGAGGCGGGGAUACAGAAGUUUGAUGCCCAUGUGCUUCUGAAGCGGGCCCCUGGUAUGUGUACAAGGCAGCCAGGAAGUAUUUCUUGUCAGCUGUCCCCAUUCACAAGUUGGCUCACCACCUGAAAGGAGGGUGGUACUUUUAUCCUACUGCACAGGAACGGAAACCAAAGCUCAGAAAAUACUUGCUGGGUUGAUGCCUCAGACUCAGAUCUAAUUGUAACACCAGAAUUUGUUCCAGCCUUUUGAAAGCAGGGCUUCUCAACUUUGCAUGCACCUUAGAAUUACCUGGGGAACUUUAAAAAGAUCCUGAUGCUGAGGCCCAAAGAUUAAUGUUGCAUUAACCAGGCAGGGCCUGGCCUCUGUAUUUUUAAAAGCAUGCUGGGUGAUCGAAUGUGCAAGCUGUGGCUGAGACCCCAACUUGAAAGCAAUCCUACUGUUGGGGAAGUUCUGCAAAUGGAAAGACUAGCCCCCAAAAGAAUGAUUCCACAUAUCUCUGAGGUUACAAGUGGCUUUUUGGUGGGCUGACAAACUGGUUAAACAUUUGACGGUGUCUGAACCUCCGGAGCAGUGAUUUUUAGACUGUCCUCAGAAGAUGGCAAAUCUGAGUGCAGUGUGUUCCUAAAGGCUCUCUGUGGGGAAGUCUGCACGAUGGUACUGAGGGUUUUCUGAGAUUCUCCUGGCAGCUGUGGACCACUGUUCCAUUAUUUCACACCAGAUUUCAUCCAAGCAAAGAGAGGAUCACAUGGAGAUGAAAACACCCCACUUCCUUCAUCUGGAUGACACCUUGUUUAGAAGCCCAUCACUCGGCCAGAGAAGAAAUAUUUAGAUUGAGAAACAGCUUUUUGUUGUGCCCUAAGCCCAUUCUACCUUUAUGAUUCAACUAAAAAUUUAUUUCCACUUAAAUAAAACCAGCAAUUCUGAGCUUCCCCUCCCGUCACAGGUUUCCUCCCAGAAAGUCUAUCAUGAAAAUACUGCUCAAAAAUCAUCUGUAAAAAGGUAAAUUAACACAUAUUCUUGGCUCCCUCUUCCUUAUCUCAGCUAUUCAGCCUCUACACUUUUUCAACUAUUUUAUCACCUUUUUUAAAUAGGCAACACAGGAGUGUAGAAUAAGAGCAUGAGGGGGGUGAAUACAUGAAAAAGUGAGUCUUCCCACCUUGGUCCUCCACUAAGUGACGGUUACUUUUUAAUGUGUCUUUCUACAGGUAUACAUUACACAUAGAAGCACGUAUGUAUGCACCGGUGGAAGUAUAUAUCCUCAUAUUUGGUGUUUGGUUUUUUUUUU
rnacentral:lncRNA from 1 species